CAUGCCGUAAACGGUGGAUGCUGGAUGUGGGGCCCAUUCCACGGGUUCCGCGUCGGAGCUAACGCGUUAAGCAUCCCGCCUGGGGAGUACGGCCGCAAGGCUAAAACUCAAAGAAAUUGACGGGGGCCCGCACAAGCGGCGGAGCAUGCGGAUUAAUUCGAUGCAACGCGAAGAACCUUACCUGGGCUUGACAUGUUCCUGACGGUCGCGGAGACGCGGCUUCCCUUCGGGGCAGGUUCACAGGUGG
rnacentral:rRNA from 1 species